CCAUUUACAGAAGACCAUAAGGCAUGGCAGCAAUUGUGGAGAGGGCGUUAUGCUGCAUUCAAUUUGAUAAAAAGUUUAUGAUUGUGGAACAAAUCUUCGACUAAAGAGUAAAGAGAGGAGGUUGAAUUGAGAGUAUUCUCGUCUCUCUUCCACUGACUGCUUGCAUGGUGGGAACACGACCAUGAGCUUCCUGGUUUUCUCUGCCUGAUAGUACUGAAACGGUUUGAAGUUUUGACUUAUAAUUGAGGGAGUAGAUCUUGUUGUUGGUCUGCAGAAACGGGAAGAGGGAAGCGAAGAAUGGAAAUUAUUAGAUGCUUGCACCAACCCAAGGAAUGGUUUUGAUGUUCUGAAUUAUAUUUUGUAUCAUUUUGAUAUUUAUACUUCUUUUGUCACCUUCCAAUACCCCUUUUUUGUUUCUUUUAUAAUUGAGGGUUAGAAGUUCAUAAAAAAGUAGUAUAAUACACGUACAAGGUGAUGUAAGUUUUGAAUAAUGUUAGAAAUGACAUCUUUUUAAGACUGGAAAUUAACUCUAGCUGCAUAUAUAAAUUUCUUGAGAUUGGUUAACAUCUGUUAACUGACAUCAAGAGCAACAAAAUAUUUCCUCUCAAUCUUUGAAUUAUAUUUGUGG
rnacentral:lncRNA from 1 species